rnacentral:rRNA from 1 species
UGAGGAAUUUUCCGCAAUGGGCGCAAGCCUGACGGAGCGACGCCGCGUGAGGGAUGAAGGCUUUCGGGUUGUAAACCUCUUUUGCAAGGGAAAAAGGUUCACGUGCUCAUACCACGUGAGUUUGAUGGUACUUUGCGAAUAAGCCCCGGCUAACUACGUGCCAGCAGCCGCGGUAAUACGUAGGGGGCGAGCGUUGUCCGGAGUUACUGGGCGUAAAGGGCGUGUAGGCGGUUGAAUAAGUCCGGUGUGAAAUUCCGAAGCUUAACUUCGGAACUGCGCUGGAUACUGUUUGACUGGAGUUUGGCAGGGGUAACUGGAAUUCCUGGUGUAACGGUGAAAUGUGUAGAUAUCAGGAGGAACACCUGUGGCGAAGGCGGGUUACUGGGCCACAACUGACGCUGAGACGCGAAAGCGUGGGUAGCAAACAGG